rnacentral:rRNA from 1 species
CCUACGGGAGGCAGCAGUAGGGAAUCUUCCACAAUGGACGAAAGUCUGAUGGAGCAACGCCGCGUGAGUGAAGAAGGGUUUCGGCUCGUAAAGCUCUGUUGGUAGUGAAGAAAGAUAGAGGUAGUAACUGGCCUUUAUUUGACGGUAAUUACUUAGAAAGUCCCGGCUAACUACGUGCCAGCAGCCGCGGUAAUACGUAGGUGGCAAGCGUUGUCCGGAUUUAUUGGGCGUAAAGCGAGUGCAGGCGGUUCAAUAAGUCUGAUGUGAAAGCCGUCGGCUCAACCGGAGAAUUGCAUCAGAAACUGUAGGACUUGAGUGCAGAAGAGGAGAGUGGAACUCCAUGUGUAGCGGUGGAAUGCGUAGAUAUAUGGAAGAACACCAGUGGCGAAGGCGGCUCUCUGGUCUGCAACUGACGCUGAGGCUCGAAAGCAUGGGUAGCGAACAGGAUUAGAUACCCGUGUAGUC